rnacentral:rRNA from 1 species
GACGAACGCUGGCGGCGUGCCUAAUACAUGCAAGUAGAACGCUGAAGGAGGAGCUUGCUUCUCCGGAUGAGUUGCGAACGGGUGAGUAACGCGUAGGUAACCUGCCUGGUAGCGGGGGAUAACUAUUGGAAACGAUAGCUAAUACCGCAUAAGAGUAGAUGUCGCAUGACAUUUGCUUAAAAGGUGCAACUGCACCACUACCAGAUGGACCUGCGUUGUAUUAGCUAGUUGGUGAGGUAACGGCUCACCAAGGCAACGAUACAUAGCCGACCUGAGAGGGGGAUCGGCCACACUGGGACUGGGACACGGCCCAGACUCCUACGGGAGGCAGCAGGAGGGAAGCUUCGGCAAUGGACGGAAGUCUGACCGAGCAACGCCGCGGGAGUGAAGAAGGGUUUCGGAUCGUAAAGCUCUGUUGUAAGAGAAGAACGAGUGUGAGGGUGGAAAGUUCACACUGUGACGGUAUCUUACCAGAAAGGGACGGCUAACUACGUG